GGGAUCGUAGCUCAACUGGUUAGAGCACUCGCCUGUCACGCGAGAGGUUGUGGGUUCGAGACCCAUCGGUCCCG
rnacentral:tRNA from 1 species